CAUUUGAUAUACAUCUUUUUAAAUUUUCAAAUCUGAUAGGUCCAAAAUAAUGGUUAGCAAUCUGUACUUCCCUGAUUACUAGAUAUAGUUGAUCUUCUUUUCAUAUCUUUAUAGACCAUUUGCAUUUCUUCUGUAAAUUGCCAAUUUCCUGACUGGGUUUAUCUUUUUCUCACAGGUUUGUAUAUUACGGAAAAUUAUUUAUGGUAAACAGAUGGUCCCAGUUGGCCACUUUUUUAAUGGCAUCAUUUGUCACAGAGAUGUUUCACAUUUUAAUAUAUUUAUUAUCUUUCAAACUUUUCCAUUCUGGCAUCUAAAUCUUAAAAGUAGCUUAGAAAGGCCUUCCUCAUCUGAUGGUUAUUAAAAAUAUUGUAGACUCAAAUUGGUUUACCCUAUGUGCUAUUUCUCCUCUUUCCUCCCAGGGCUGACUGAUCCAAGCACAGUCAUACCUGACUCAUAAUGGGCCAAUCAGAUUCUCUCCCAGGAUUCUGAAAACUAGGGAGAAGCAGGGGCUUUCCUAGAAGGCCCCCAAAGCCACCAAGGUUAACAUGGAAACAAGGAAAAGUAAACAAACACAGCCACAGAUGCACACGGUUGCCAAGGACUGUGAGCAGAGGAAAUAGAUGAAUACUGUACACUGUGUAAAAGGAACAACAGAUAUAAGAUAAGUGGAAAGGGAAAAAUGGAACAGAAGAAAUAUUUGAAGAAGAGACGAAGGCUGAAAAUUCUCCAAAACUAAAGAAAAACAUCAAACCACAGAUCCAAGAAGCCCUAAAACCCCUGAAGCAGAUAAAUAAAAAGGAAAUCCUUAUCUAGA